ensembl:lncRNA
CCUGUGCAGAGCAUAUGCCCCUUUGCCCUUCCAGACUCCAAAGUGCUAUAUUACUGCUGUUUGUCUCUCUUGAGCCACCGUAACUGCAUCGCUUUAACACUUCAUCAAAAUAGUAUGAAUUAAUCGAAGAUAAAUCAUAUACAGUAUAUCAUUUUACGGGUUUUUUUCUGAGGAGGUCUUAGUUGCGCAAUUUUACAUCUAACCAAGAUGUUUGGUGCAGUAUUUCUCAAGUGACAAAAUGUGCAUGAAAACUAGUCGUCUCUCGUUGAAUGACAAACUUUGUUGAAGACUCCUUCCCCUAAUUCCCACUUCUACUAGGAGUAGUACUGCUAACCAAUCUCUUAUGAAGAGGCGGUAGACUCAAGAAAACUUGCCUCAAGAAAAACAGACGGGUGCAACUUUGCUUAACUGAGCUCAAGGCUAGAAAUCAACACAUCUGAAGAAAUAUAAAUGAAAAUGAAAGAUGCCAUCUCUUCUAGAAAGAGCCCAGAUGUUACAUCAUCCCGACAACCCUCAGAUUUGACCACUUUCCAGAAAUGAGCUAGAUUUCCACCACUCUCAGCUACACAAUUCAAGAAGCGAAAGAUUUACGGAUCCUCCUGGACCAGGCCCAAAUCCCUGUUAUUCACAUGAAGAGGAGACGCCGAUACAGGGGGCGCAGAUCCUGGUGCUUGGUGAGAAUUUGUCAGCGAGUGGAUAAUCCGCCUUUACCAUCCAUCCUACUGGCAAAUUUGCAAUCACUUGAGAAUAAACUGGAUGAGCUCCGUUCGGGACUAUCCUACCAACGGGGCCUUAAAAACUGUAAUAUCUUAUGAUUCACCGACAUGGAUAAAAUACAGUUGGCUGGCUUUUCUGUGCAUUGGCAAGAACAUCAACCUCUGGUAAGACAAAGGGUUGCAUCAGAUGCAUGCUUAGUCCCCUCCUAUACUCCCUGUUCACCCAAGAUGGCCACGCACGACUCCAACACCAUCAUUAAGUUUGCCGAUGACACAACAGUGGUAGGUAGGCCUGAUCACCGACAACAAUGAGACAGCAUACAGGGAGGAGGUCAGAGACCUGGCAGUGUGGUGCCAGGACAACAACAUCUCCCUCAACAUGAGCAAGACAAAAGAGCUGAUCGUGGACUACAGGAAAAGGAGGGCCGAGCACACCCCCUUUCACAUUGAUGGGACUGUAGUGGAGCAGGUCAAGAGCAUUCUGACUGGUUGCAUCACCGCUUGGAAUGGCAACUGCUCUGCAUCCAAUUGCAAGAUGCUGCAGAGGGUAGUGCGUAUGGUCCAGUACAUCACUGGGGCCAAGCUUCCUGCCAUCCAGGACCUCUAUACCAGGCGGUGUCAGAGGAAGGCCCUUAAAAGGUGUUGAAGGCUCCAGCCACCCUAGUCAUAGACUGUUCUCUCUGCUACCGCACCGCAAGCAGUACCAGAGCACCAAGUCUAGGUCCAAAAGGAUCAUUAAUAGCUUCUACCACCAAGCCAUAAGACUGCUAAACAGUACCCAGACUAUUUGCAUUGACCCCCUUUUUUAUGCUGCUGCUACUCGCUGUUUAUUAUCAAUGCAUACAGCUUAUCAAUAAAUAACUCUACCCACAUUUACAUAUUACCUCAAUUACACCGACUAACCUGUACCCCCUCACAUUGACUGCGUACCGGUAUCCCCUGUAUAUAGCCUCAUUAUUUUAUUGUUCAUUUUUUUUCAUUUUUUUUUUUUUAGUUUUGUAUUUUUUUAAUAAACAAAUUCUUACUUGAAUUUUUUUUUUUGCAUUGUUGGUUAAUUUCUAUUCUGGGC